CAGUGCGCCAGAAUGAAGGAUGAAACCCAUAUAAUAGCUGCACUGAUGCCAAUGAAAUGCAGAACUCCUUGGAGAGUCGGUGUUGGCUGGCAAUUUCCCACCAUAAGAUCAGCCUUCCCAUUGGUUCCUUCGAUCCUGAAGGCGUCCCACAGUCCAAAGACAUGCAGGAUUUUAAGCAACAAUGAGAAGGAGGAACUGGAGAAUGGGCCGUUGACUGGUCUCCUUGUGCUGGAGAGACUGUGAGGAUACUCUGUGCAUGUUUACUCCAUUCAGUAGUAAGCAGCACACAGCCCCGUUUCAGUUUACAAUCUGCGGGGAUAUGUCUGAAGCACACACACACGUGUGUGUGUGUGUGUGUGUGUGUGUAAGGCCUGCAGCUGGAUUUUAUUUAGAAUGCUGGUGUCCUGGAAGGCUUGUGCUGUUUCCAUCUUUUCUUCUGUAAUUUACCCCAGCCACGAAACCAUGGCAGCAGCCUGCCAGCACUCCUUCCUGAUGAGGGAUGCUUUCCCAGUGCAUGCUGGGAUAGGUCAGAUUGGAUCCUGUUCGCCUCCGCUCAGUUCAGAUGCCAAAAGGCAAAAUUAAUUAGCGCACUAAAAUGUGAACGGCUCCCUUUCCUGUAAUGUAAAAAUGUAAAUCAAAUUCCUCUUCUAGCCUUUCUUCAGCUCUCUACAGUGCGGAUAAUUUAUGGGAGUGCUCCAGCGCUAAGGGUAUGCAGCCAUACUCACAGGGUUAACUCAGCUCUGCCAGUGUUAAAUCACCUAGCGGUGUUUAUGUGAGUCAACUCUAUCAGAGCUGAAUUUACAUUUUGCUUUGUACUUUUUAUUCACUAGGAGAAUUUCAUUACAGGACCAUCUGUUACCUGGAAAGAUGACAUAAGCAUUUUGAGACUGUCUAAAAUAAAUUUUUUCAGAUUUUUCCAGCUUUUAACUCUUCUCAUUGGAAUAUUGUUUGAAAAGAAGUAGAAAAUUGAAAGAAAAAAAAACUCCUUUCACUCUACCUUCUCAGCUCAGCCCUGAUAAGUGUUGUGAUUGUCUGUGACUCUUAGUUAUGCAAAUUAAGGGCCUCAUCGUUCUGAAAUAUAUUUGGCCUGGAAGAAAAAAAAGAAUAAGUAGAGAUAUAUUAUCAUGCAGCAUAUACUGUAUAUUUGAACCCUUUAAGGUGUGAGGUCACAAACAUGUGAUUACGAUGUUCUUCACUGAACAUUCUAAUGCUGAUGUCACAAUCGCUGCUGAUAAGUGAAAACAGUGGAGUUGUAGAAUUCUGACUUUUUUGGAAUUGAAAAAAAAAAAAACAUUCCAAUAAACCUACUAUUACAGUUAAAUACCUGUUACGUGUCAGUUACAUGUCCACGCUAGACGGCUUGAAAAGGUUAUUUAAGUUACUGUAGAUAUAGGUGUAAGGAAACUUGUUCCAGGUCACCUUGUGUGCUUUCUGUCAAACACACUGAACUUGCAACUGCUCUCCUGUCACUGUGACCGUCAAUCAUCCAGUGCAGAAUUGUGCUGACGCAGGGGUUUUCACUCUCCAGAGCUGCACUUUAUGGGCUUGCCUCUACCUUUAGGGACUUUGAACACCUAGUCAAUAAUCUGGAUGUACACCAGCAUUUUAAAAGAAUUAUAGUCUCUUUGCUUCUUUUAUUUUCAUCCGAAAUUUAUUAUUUUACGAAUUAAAAAUGACCAGUUGUGUUGGU